CUAAGAAGCCUUAUGCAGAGUGUGAGAAGCCUAAGCCAAAACCCACACCUCCUAGUCCUUACUACUACAAGUCCCCACCUCCUCCUCCUCCAGCUUACGUGUACAAGUCCCCGCCACCACCGGCUUACGUGUACAAGUCUCCGCCCCCUCCUUCACCUAAGCCAUACUACUAUAAGUCACCUCCUCCUCCAACUUACGUGUACAAAUCACCUCCACCACCGGCUUACGUGUACAAGUCUCCGCCCCCUCCUUCACCUAAGCCAUACUACUAUAAGUCACCUCCUCCUCCAACUUACGUGUACAAAUCACCUCCACCACCGGCUUACAUGUACAAGUCACCGCCACCCCCUUCACCUAAGCCAUACUACUAUAAGUCACCCCCUCCUCCGACUUACGUGUACAAGUCACCUCCACCACCUGCUUACGUGUACAAGUCACCGCCACCUCCUUCACCUAAGCCAUACUACUACAAGUCACCACCACCACCAUCUCCAUCACCGCCGCCUCCUUACUAUUACAAGUCUCCACCACCACCGUCGCCUAAGCCAUACUACUACAAGUCCCCACCACCACCAUCUCCUUCGCCACCACCACCAUACUACUACAAGUCCCCACCGCCGCCAUCACCUAAGCCAUACUACUAUAAAUCUCCACCACCACCAUCACCUAAGCCAUACUACUACAAGUCUCCCCCUCCACCAUCUCCUUCACCACCACCACCUUACUACUACAAAUCUCCACCACCACCGUCACCUUCCCCACCACCACCUUACUACUACAAAUCCCCACCUCCGCCAUCACCAUCUCCACCACCACCGUACUAUUACAAAUCUCCCCCACCUCCGUCACCAUCACCACCGCCUCCUUCGUACUAGCAAUACCCACCCCCACCAUCCCCAUCACCCCACAACCCCCCCCCCCCCCCCCCCCCCCCCCCACCGCCUCCUUACUACUACAAAUCUCCACCCCCACCAUCCCCAUCACCCCCUCCUCCUUACUACUACAAGUCUCCACCACCACCGUCUCCCUCACCUCCUCCACCAUACUACUACAAGUCUCCACCUCCUCCGUCGCCAUCUCCACCACCACCAUACUACUACAAAUCUCCCACACCACCAUCAUCGUCACCGCCACCUCCUUACCACUACAAGUCUCCCCCACCACCAUCACCAUCUCCACCACCACCAUACUACUACAAGACCCCUCCUCCUCCNNNNNNNNNNNNNNNNNNNNNNNNNNNNNNNNNNNNNNNNNNNNNNNNNNNNNNNNNNNNNNNNNNNNNNNNNNNNNNNNNNNNNNNNNNNCCACCACCACCAUACUACUACAAAUCUCCCCCACCACCAUCUCCCUCACCUCCACCACCGUACUACUACAAGUCUCCACCACCACCAUCACCUUCACCACCACCACCAUACUACUACAAAUCUCCACCACCUCCUUCCCCAUCACCGCCACCUCCUUACCACUACAAGUCUCCCCCACCACCAUCACCAUCUCCACCACCACCAUACUACUACAAGUCCCCUCCUCCUCCCUCACCGUCUCCACCACCACCAUACUACUACAAAUCCCCACCACCACCGUCGUCAUCACCCCCUCCUCCAUACCACUACAGCUCACCUCCCCCACCGGUGAAAUCACCACCACCACCGGCAUACAUCUAUUCAUCUCCCCCACCACCAGCCCACUACUAGGCUCAAACGCCUCGGCAACAAACCACCAAUGUAAGUUUCUAUUACUCCUCUCAAUUCCAUCAAAACGCUAUAGCAAUUCAUUCAUACGUUAUUACAGCUUUCCUAACAGUACUACUUUCCCAUUUCAGAUUUAAGAAUUGACAAUGUAAUAAAAGAAGGCUCCAAUCAUGGUCUGAUAAACCCAAUAUCAUCAAUUAGUGCCAAUAAUAACAACAGCCGAUAUGGCUCAGUAUGCAGAGUUGCGAUCCUGCACAUGGCAAUGUUGCUGUGUUCAUCAUCAUCAAGUGGGGUACUGUUGUUCAAGAAGAGACGACAUUUGGGAAAUUAAGCAACUAUUCUUAGUUAGUUAUCGGAGUUGAUGAUCAAUUGGGUUUUUCAGAGUUAUUUGUUUAGUUGAUGUAUGUAUGUAAAAUCUAUUUGUUAUUUAGUUUUCCAGCUUUGAUUUUUUUGUUGGGGAGGAUUUGGGAAAUGCGUGCGUACUUUUGUUCUUAUAUUAUAUAAAUUAUUAUUAAAUGUUUUAUGUUUGGGGGAAGCAACGUAAAUUUGAUGUAAUUGUAAUUUUUUAUUGGAGCUUCUUGUACUUCAAUUUGUCCCGCCUCCCGAUUGUGAGUAAUCAAGUAAAGCCAUUUCAUAUUUCUAAUUUUUGGUUCAAUUUCGGCCGAAAUUCGCAUUCAAGUCGGAAUUAGUGAUUUCAUCCCAACUAAAAAUGGAUUGAUGAG
rnacentral:lncRNA from 1 species